rnacentral:rRNA from 1 species
UUUCCGGUUGAUCCAGCCGGAGGCCAUUGCUAUCGGAGUCCGAUUUAGCCAUGCUAGUUGCACGAGUUUAGACUCGCAGCGGAAAGCUCAGUAACACGUGGUCAAGCUACCCUGUGGAUGGGAAUAAUCUCGGGAAACUGAGGCUAAUACCCAACAACACUCCAUGUCUGGAAUGAUUGGAGUCGGAAACGCUUCGGCGCCACAGGAUGCGGCUGCGGUCGAUUAGGUAGACGGUGGGGUAACGGCCCACCGUGCCUAUAAUCGGUACGGGUUGUGAGAGCAAGAGCCCGGAGACGGAAUCUGAGACAAGAUUCCGGGCCCUACGGGGCGCAGCAGGCGCGAAACCUUUACACUGUACGAAAGUGCGAUAGGGGGACUCCGAGUGCGAGGGCAUAGAGCCCUCGCUUUUGUACACCGUAAGGUGGUGUACGAAUAAGAGCUGGGCAAGACCGGUGCCAGCCGCCGCGGUAGUACCGGCAGCUCGAGUGAUGGCCGAUCUUAUUGGGCCUAAAGCGUCCGUAGCUGGCCAGGCAAGUCCGUUGGGAAAUCUGCUCGCUUAACGAGCAGGCGUCCAGCGGAAACUGCUUGGCUUGGGACCGGAGGACCUGAGGGGUACGUCCGGGGUAGGAGUGAAAUCCUGUAAUCCUGGACGGACCACCGGUGGCGAAAGCGCCUCAGGAAGACGGAUCCGACAGUGAGGGACGAAAGCUAGGGUCUCGAACCGGAUUAGAUACCCGGGUAGUCCUAGCUGUAAACGAUGCUCGCUAGGUGUGGCGCAGGCUACGAGCCUGCGCUGUGCCGUAGGGAAGCCGAGAAGCGAGCCGCCUGGGAAGUACGUCUGCAAGGAUGAAACUUAAAGGAAUUGGCGGGGGAGCACUACAACCGGAGGAGCCUGCGGUUUAAUUGGAUUCAACGCCGGA